GACGAACGCUGGCGGCGUGCCUAACACAUGCAAGUCGAGCGGGGAUUUGGGAAGCUUGCUUUCUGAAUCCUAGCGGCGGACGGGUGAGUAACGCGUGAGCAACCUGCCUCAAACAGGGGGAUAGCGCAUCGAAAGAUGUGCUAAUACCGCGUAAGACCACGGUACCGCAUGGUACAGAGGUCAAAGGAGCAAUCCGGUUUGAGAUGGGCUCGCGUCCGAUUAGCUAGUUGGUGAGAUAACAGCCCACCAAGGCGACGAUCGGUAGCCGACCUGAGAGGGUGAUCGGCCACAUUGGAACUGAGAAACGGUCCAG
rnacentral:rRNA from 1 species